AGCUCGAGCUCUAAACGAGCCGAUUGAAAUUCUCGACAUUAUAUAAUCAAUAGUUUAAUUUUUAUAGAACAUUACCUACAAUUUGAUGCAACAUGUCCAAUAGUUCAAAAUACAAAAUAAUUAUAAGAAAUGUGAGCUAGGGUGACUUCCUGACUAGAUAAGGGUAAUUUGAAUGUUAUCAUGUUUUAGGAUUAUGUGCAAUAGUGAAAGUCUGAAAGAGAGAGUGCGUUAUGUAAAUUUAGAGUUAGGCUUAAUUGCACGGUUGUACUUGUUGGGUUUAUUUUAUGGGCCAACAAUAAUGGCUCAAAUUAAAUUAAAGCCUAUAUAUAAUUAAAAUACAUUAUAUUUAUAAAUAUUAUAUAUAUAUGUAUAGAGUCCGGCUAAUAUACUUUUAUGAGUAUUGGCUCAUUUAUACUCAUAGGUUUUCGACCCUUAAAUUUAUUCCAUUAAUCAUUUUCAUCCGUUAAAUCAUACUAUUUAACCAACUACCCACUCAACCCUAGGGGACCACUAUCAUUCUAAGUGGGGACCACCAUCAUCCUAACCACACAUCUCAUCAAUCAACGGUUAAAAAUUUAUGAGUAUAAGGGGGUCUAUACUCAUAAGAG
rnacentral:lncRNA from 1 species